UACGUAGGGUGCAAGCGUUAAUCGGAAUUACUGGGCGUAAAGCGUGCGCAGGCGGUUGUGCAAGACCGAUGUGAAAUCCCCGGGCUUAACCUGGGAAUGGCAUUGGUGACUGCACGGCUAGAGUGUGUCAGAGGGGGGUAGAAUUCCACGCGUAGCAGUGAAAUGCGUAGAGAUGUGGAGGAAUACCGAUGGCGAAGGCAGCCCCCUGGGAUAACACUGACGCUCAUGCACGAAAGCGUGGGGAGCAAACAGG
rnacentral:rRNA from 1 species